rnacentral:rRNA from 1 species
CCUACGGGGGGCAGCAGUGGGGAAUCUUGCACAAUGGGGGAAACCCUGAUGCAGCGACGCCGCGUGAGCGAUGAAGCCCUUCGGGGUGUAAAGCUCUUUCGGCAGGAACGAUAAUGACGGUACCUGCAGAAGAAGCUGCGGCUAACUACGUGCCAGCAGCCGCGGUAAUACGUAGGCAGCAAGCGUUGUUCGGAAUUACUGGGCGUAAAGAGUGUGUAGGUGGUGUCGUAAGUUUGGUGUGAAAUCUCCCGGCUUAACUGGGAGGGUGCGCCGAAGACUG